rnacentral:rRNA from 1 species
GACGAACCGUGCGAACGUUGUUCGGAAUCACUGGGCUUAAAGGGCGCGUAGGCGGGCUUGAUAGUCUGUGGUGAAAGCCUCCAGCUUAACUGGAGAAGUGCCGUGGAUACUGCGAAUCUUGAGGAGGGUAGGGGCGUCUGGAACGGUCGGUGGAGCGGUGAAAUGCGUUGAUAUCAGGAGGAAUACCGGUGGCGAAGGCGGUUCUCUGGGCAUGUCCUGACGCUGAGGAGCGAAAGUGUGGGGAGCGAACAGG